rnacentral:rRNA from 1 species
AUUGAACGCUGGCGGCAGGCCUAACACAUGCAAGUCGAGCGGAUGAGAGGAGCUUGCUUCUCGAUUCAGCGGCGGACGGGUGAGUAAUGCCUAGGAAUCUGCCUGGUAGUGGGGGACAACGUUUCGAAAGGAACGCUAAUACCGCAUACGUCCUACGGGAGAAAGCAGGGGACCUUCGGGCCUUGCGAUAUCAGAUGAGCCUAGGUCGGAUUAGCUAGUUGGUGAGGUAAUGGCUCACCAAGGCGACGAUCCGUAACUGGUCUGAGAGGAUGAUCAGUCACACUGGAACUGAGACACGGUCCAGACUCCUACGGGAGGCAGCAGUGGGGAAUAUUGGACAAUGGGCGAAAGCCUGAACCAGCCAUGCCGCGUGUGUGAAGAAGGUCUUCGGAUUGUAAAGCACUUUAAGUUGGGAGGAAGGGUUGUAGAUUAAUACUCUGCAAUUUUGACGUUACCGACAGAAUAAGCACCGGCUAACUCUGUGCCAGCAGCCGCAGUAACAC